AGCAUGCGGAUUAAUUCGAUGCAACGCGAAGAACCUUACCAAGGCUUGACAUACACCGGUAACGCCCAGAGAUGGUGCCCCUUUCGUGGUCGGUGUACAGGUGGUGCAUGGUUGUCGUCAGCUCGUGUCGUGAGAUGUUGGGUUAAGUCCCGCAACGAGCGCAACCCUCGUCCUAUGUUGCCAGCGGGUCAUGCCGGGGACGUCAUGGGAGGACUGCCGGGGUCAACUCGGAGGAAGGUGGGGGAGUGACGUCAAAUACAUCAUGCCCCUUAUGUCUUGGGCUUCACGCAUGCUACAAUGGCCGGUACAAAGGGCCGCGAUACCGCGAGGUGGAGCGAAUCCCAGAAAGCCGGUCUCAGUUCGGAUUGGGGUCUGCAACUCGACCCCAUGAAGUCGGAGUCGCUAGUAAUCGCAGAUCAGUAACGCUGCGGUGAAUACGUUCCCGGGCCUU
rnacentral:rRNA from 1 species